UACGGGGGGGGGCAAGCGUUGUUCGGAAUUACUGGGCGUAAAGGGCUCGUAGGCGGCCAACUAAGUCAGACGUGAAAUCCCUCGGCUUAACCGGGGAACUGCGUCUGAUACUGGAUGGCUUGAGUUUGGGAGAGGGAUGCGGAAUUCCAGGUGUAGCGGUGAAAUGCGUAGAUAUCUGGAGGAACACCGGUGGCGAAGGCGGCAUCCUGGACCAACACGUGACGCUGAGGAGCGAAAGCCAGGGGAGCAAAGCGGG
rnacentral:rRNA from 1 species